rnacentral:rRNA from 1 species
GAUGAACGCUGGCGGCGUGCUUAACACAUGCAAGUCGAACGGAAAGGCUCCUGCUUGCCGGGGUACUCGAGUGGCGAACGGGUGAGUAACACGUGGGUGAUCUGCCCUGCACUUCGGGAUAAGCCUGGGAAACUGGGUCUAAUACCGGAUAGGACGAUGUUUUGGAUGCCAUUGUGGAAAGUUUUUCGGUGUGGGAUGAGCUCGCGGCCUAUCAGCUUGUUGGUGGGGUAUUGGCUUACCAAGGCGUCGACGGGUAGCCGGCCUGAGAGGGUGUACGGCCACAUUGGGACUGAGAUACGGCCCAGACUCCUACGGGAGGCAGCAGUGGGGAAUAUUGCACAAUGGGCGCAAGCCUGAUGCAGCGACGCCGCGUGGGGGAUGACGGCCUUCGGGUUGUAAACUCCUUUCGCUAGGGACGAAGCGCAAGUGACGGUACCUGGAGAAGAAGCACCGGCUAACUACGUG